CUGCAGAGGUGCCUUUUGUCUGGCAAGGGGAGCACAGGUGGGGGAUGGGGCUGGCCCCAGCCAGGACAUUGUCUGUGUCACUCAGCAGCAGACUGACUGGCGCCUGCUGCCUGGCCAGCAAUGCUGACCCCUCUGCCUGCCCUAGCCAAUAUUUGAGGUCAGGAGGCAAGUACAGCAUCUGUGGGCAGACGACAGGGCCAAUGGGGUUCUCCUCCAGGCCUUCUGCUGCCACUCUGCUUCCUGAAGCCAGGAGGCCCAGUUCAGGUGCUCCGCCAGGGCUCCCGUGGUCCUGCCUGCAGGGGCGAGGUAGCAGGACCCCCUUGUUUAGCCUCUGCUGCAUCCUUAGCUGCAGCAGGGAGCCUGCCAGGCAGGUGUGCGACAGGCAGGACAGCGAUGUCUUCCUGCAUGACAGAAGGGGAAACUGAGGCCCAGAGUGAUGCAGCCCGGGACCUCCCAGGACAAGGUCCAAGCUCUUACCUCAGGUCCCUACACGGGUCAAGAUGGGAGCCGCCUUAGAGAUCUCUAUUCUGCAGAGGAGGAAACUGAGGCACAGACAUGGAUGGAGGGAAUUUGGCCAAGGCCCUUUGGCCUUCUGGGCCAGGACUCCAGCCCCAGCCCAGUGGCAGGAAGAGGGUCUCAUGCCACCCCUCAACCCUGAUAAUCCUGCAUGCACGGCACAGGCCUCGAACCUCCUCUCCCCUGGCCUGGUCCCACCCUAGUGGGCCCGGCAGUGGGGCCUUCCAUCCUGCCUCUGUCACUGCCACAAAAGAACAUCAUGAUGCAUCCCAGGCCUCUGUCCUUCAGGCCAUGGGGGGCUUCCCUGAGCACAGCCACUCACCACAUGCCUGAGUCUGGAUCUCAUGCGAGAACUGGCCUGGACCCCUGGACCAGGAUACAAACUCAUCUGGAAGCAUUAAAACAAUGGAAGCAGGUGAGAGCAGAGAGAUCCCGAGCGCAGGUGAGGUGGGGUCCCUGAGGCGGGCUCAAAAGCUGCUUCCCAAGGCAGGGGGGCCCCUAUGUGCCCUCUGAGAGCACAGCCUGCAGACAGAGUCCAGACGUCUCAGGCAGGCCUUUGAGGCCUUCGUGUCAAAGCCCAGUUCUACCACAUCCUAGGGUUAUACUUUCGGCCUGGUGGGAGUCGCUGGUCCCCAGUUGACAGUGUCAUUGGGAAAGUCCAGUGGUAGACCCCGGCACAGCAGGCGCUCAGCAGUGCAGCAGUAUCAUUGCUUAGCCCCACCUCCCUUUCCAGACUCUGCACCCCUCCUCAGGCUCAGAGCAAGGGCCUGCCCCUGCCCCUCCACCGCCCCCUCCUCACUUACCCCUGCGACUCUGCCCAAGCAAGACCUCCCCCUGGAAUUCAUUCAUUUAUCAACUCAUUAUGCAGCCAGCCAGCCAUCGUUUCUUUUUUAUCCACUUUUUCUGAGGGCCUGCUGUGCGCCAGCUGCUGGAGACAUGAAGACAUCGAAGACCCCAGGCCUUGACCUCCAAGAGCCCCCAGUUUGGUGGAAGAAACAAACAAGGAGACUGCAAAACACACCCUGUGAUGGGGAGGGUUGAGGUGGCCAGUGGGAGAGGCGAGCUGGCAGGGCUCAGUGGUGAGGUGAAGGUGUGGGAGCAGGGACACAGCAUGAAGGAGUAGAUGGCCAGGUUGAGCUUUGCAGGCUCCAGGGGGAGGAUAAAGAGCUGACACCUGGAACGUGCUUGGAACAGCAGGUGCUCGGUCAGUGCAGCCACGACCAUCCCGUCCUGCAUCCCCACCAUGAACUUGGACCUUCUGGAAGGACCUUGCUUAUCCCAGCAUCCACACAUCCUUGACCAGACCUGGUCAACAUUUGCUUAGAACCGCCUGGCUGCUGGGAUGAGAAGAGACUGGAGAGAGACCACGAUGGAAGCCAGGAGGCCAACGAGGAGUUGGGGUAGUCCUCCAGGGAGACAUGAUGUGGCUUCAGCCCCAGUGGUGAUGGCGGGGUAGAGCCAGCAGGGUUCUGAACUGAGUGGAUGUGAAAUGAGGGAAAGAGGGAUGCUGCGGUCGGCAGAAUCGUGCCUCCCGCAAAGAUGCCCCAUCCUAACCCGUCACCCUUGACAGUGAGACCUCCACCACAAAGGGGACUUUGCAGGCAUGAAGGUUAAGGACCCUGAGAGGAGGAGAUGGCCCUGGACUGUCUGGCGGGCCCAGCAUCAUCACAAGGGUGCUUAUAAGUGGAGGAGGAGGCAGGGGGAGCCGAGCAGAUGUGAGGAUAGAAGCAGAGGUCGGAGGGACGUGCUGUUGGCUUGAGAUGGAGGAGGACCUAUGAGCCAAGGAGCAUGGGCGGCCUCUGGAAGCCAGAAAGGGCAAGGCCUCUUCCCGGAGCCUCCAGCAGAACCCAGCCCCGCUGCCACCUCGACUGCAGAACGGUGACACCGUGUCCGAUUCCCGACCUCCAGAACCGUGAGAUAACACGUGUGCUGUUUUAAGCCACUGCAAUUGUGGUAUUUGUCACAGCAGCCAUAGGAAACUGUACGGGGGUUAAAGAGGACCUGCUGACCUCUGAGCUCACACUGAAGCCUCCUGGAAUGCUGUGGGUUGUGAGCUGGGAUGAGAACGCAGCAUGGAGAUGAAAGACGCAUCCACCCAGGAAGGCCCACUGGCAUCGCAAUCUCAGGGAAGAUUCCCAGGCUGAAAAAAGAGAAAGUGGCUGGGGUGGCACUGAAUGCCCCACGUCAAAGAAAUGGCACCCAAGCCGUCCGUCAGUCCCUCACCUGCCACACAGACAGCACCUUGGACCCAGCAAGAUGUCACUCACCACAUUGAUGCUGUCCACAGGCAUCGCCUUGCUUUUGCAGCUCUGUGUGAGAUUUGUCAGCUUGGUUUGGGUCUGGGGCUGUAUUAGAGCUGUCAGCCUAGGAGCCUACCCUAGUUUUGUGUCUGCACUAUUUCCAAAGCACUGGAAUAAAAGGCAUUUUAACCAA
rnacentral:lncRNA from 1 species